AACGAACGCUGGCGGCAGGCUUAACACAUGCAAGUCGAGCGCCCCGCAAGGGGAGCGGCAGACGGGUGAGUAACGCGUGGGAAUCUACCCAUCUCUACGGAAUAACGCAUGGAAACGUGUGCUAAUACCGUAUACGUCCUUCGGGAGAAAGAUUUAUCGGAGCUGGAUGAGCCCGCGUUGGAUUAGCUAGUUGGUGGGGGAAAGGCCUACCAAGGCGACGAUCCAUAGCUGGUCUGAGAGGAUGAUCAGCCACACUGGGACUGAGACACGGCCCAGACUCCUACGGGAGGCAGCAGUGGGGAAUAUUGGACAAUGGGCGCAAGCCUGAUCCAGCCAUGCCGCGUGAGUGAUGAAGGCCCUAGGGUUGUAAAGCUCUUUCACCGGUGAAGAUAAUGACGGUAACCGGAGAAGAAGCCCCGGCUAACUUCGUGCCAGCCGCCGCCGUAAUAC
rnacentral:rRNA from 1 species